rnacentral:lncRNA from 10 species
CUCUGUCCCGCCAUACACAGGGUGGGACGGGGCAGGGCGGGCAUUGAGCCCAGUGUCCUGGGGUCAGGGUGCUUCCCCUGCCGGCCUCACCCCACCAAGCGGAUCUCAUGGUGCUCCUCUGGCUGGGCCCACCCGCAGUGGUAUCCUUCUGGGGGCCCUUAGGGGAGCCUGCCGGGGGUGCAGAUCCUGCCGGGGGUGCAGAGCCUGCUGGGGGUGCAGAUGAUUUCUGGGUCCCAGGACCAUGAGGGGGCUGCUCUACACACAGCCUGAAGAUGCUGCGGACCCAAACUGGCCCUUUCCCUCCCACACCACCCCAGGACCAAUGGGCUGGCUGGAGGCCACCCAUGCUAAAAUAGGCUCAAGGGCCUACUUUAGCUUCUGGGCAAAGGUCUUGGCCUGGGCCUGACUCUGUGGCCUUCCUGAGCUGCCUCCCCAGUAGGCCUCAGUGCUGGGCUACAGGCCUCCUCCAUUCCCUCCAUUCAUGUGACCCCACCCCUCCCAGCAGAAACUCUCUUCCGUAGCCCAGGAGCAGCUGUUGAGGGUUUCACCUGCCCAUGCCCCAGCCUAAGGCCGGCUUCCCCAGAGCAGACGGGUUGCACUCUCCUGCCCCUCAGGCCCACUCUGUCAUCCAACAAGCUCACUGCAACUGGCCCAUCUUAAAAACAACACCGGCUGGUCACGCUGGCUCACACCUGUAAUCCCAGCGCUGUGGGAGGCCGGGGCGGGGGGAUCACUUAAAGUCAGGAGUUUAAGACCAGCCUGGGCAACAUGGUGAAACCCGAGCUCCACUAAAAACACAAAAACAAAUUAAGGCACCCUGAGUGGUGGUGGGUGCCUGUAGUCCCAGCGACUCGGGAGGCUGAGGCAGAAUUGCUUGAGCCCAGGAGGUGGAGGCUGCAGUGAGCCACGAUCGCAUCACGCACUCCAGCCCGGGCAACCUGGCAAGACCCUGACUCUAAAAAGAAAAAAACAACAACAAAAAAAAGCCCACGUUCAAUGGCAGCACUAUUCAAAAGAUGGAAGCAACUCAAGUAUCCAAACGCGCAUGAGUGAACACAUCGUGGUUCAUCCACAGUGGAACACGAUUCAGCCAGAAAAAGGAAGGAAACCGGCCUGCACCGUGACUUGGAUGCACCUGGAGGAGACUGUGAUGAACGAAAGCAGCCAGACGCAAAAGGGCAAGGACGGUGUGAUCUGACUGAUGUGAGGACCCCAGCCAGUCAAAUUCAUGGAGACAGAAAGUAAAAGGGUUUUGGGAGGCCGAGGCGGGCAGAUCACCUAAGGUCAGGACUUCGAGACCAGCCUAGCCAACAUGGUGAAACCCCAUCUCUACUAAAAAAUACAAAAAUUAGCCAGGCAUGGUGGCGGGGUCCCAGCUGCUCAGAAGUCUGAGGCGGGAGAAUUGCUUGAACCCCGGAGGCAGAGGUUACAGUGAGCUGAGAUCACGCCAUUGCACUCUAGCCUAGGCGACAGAGCUAGACUCUGUCUCAAAAAUAGUAAUAACAAAAAAUUUUAAAAUAAAUAAAAAAAAUACAGGCCGGGCACAGUGGCUCAUACCUCUAAUCCCAGUACUUUGGGAGGCCAAGGCGGGCGGAUCACCUGAGGUUGGGAGUAUAAGACCAGCCUGGCCAACAUGGUGAAAACCUGUCUACUAAAAGGUACAAAACUUAGCUGGGCAUAGUGGCAGGAGCCUGUAAUCCCAGCUACUCAGGAGGCGAAGGCGGGAGAACUGCUUGAACCCGGAAGGCAGAGGUUGCAGUGAGCCGAGAUCGCACCAUAGCAUUCCAGCCUGGGCAACAGAACGAGACUCUGUCUAAAAAAAAAAACAAAAAAUUAAAUAAGUUAAAAAAAAUACAUGCCUGGCACCCAGUGGCUCAUGCCUGUAAUCCUAGUACUUUGUAGGGCCAAGGCAGGCGGAUCACCUGAGGUCGGGAGUUCCAGACCAGCCUGACCAACAUGGAGAAACCCCAUCUUUACUAAAAAUACAAAAUUAG